UGAGGAAUAUUGGACAAUGGGCGCAAGCCUGAUCCAGCCAUGCCGCGUGCAGGAAGAAGCAUCUAUGGUGUGUAAACUGCUUUUGUACGGGAAGGAACACUCCUACGUGUAGGAGCUUGACGGUACCGUAAGAAUAAGGAUCGGCUAACUCCGUGCCAGCAGCCGCGGUAAUACGGAGGAUCCAAGCGUUAUCCGGAAUCAUUGGGUUUAAAGGGUCCGUAGGCGGUUUAAUAAGUCAGUGGUGAAAGCCCAUCGCUCAACGAUGGAACGGCCAUUGAUACUGCUAGACUUGAAUUACAAGGAAGUAACUAGAAUAUGUAGUGUAGCGGUGAAAUGCUUGGAUAUUACAUGGAAUACCAAUUGCGAAGGCAGGUUACUACUUGUGGAUUGACGCUGAUGGACGAAAGCGUGGGGAGCGAACA
rnacentral:rRNA from 1 species